GAUGAACGCUGGCGGCGUGCCUAAUACAUGCAAGUCGAGCGAAGCGGGGACGGGUGAGUAACACGUGGAUAACCUCCUAUAAGACUGGGAUAACUUCGGGAAAACGGUGCCAAACCGGAUGAUUAUCGCUGGUUCCGGGUGGCAUUAGCUAGUUGGUAAGGUAACGGCUUACCAAGGCAACGAUGCAUAGCCGACCUGAGAGGGUGAUCGGCCACACUGGAACUGAGACACGGUCCAGACUCCUACGGGAGGCAGCAGUAGGGAAUCUUCCGCAAUGGGCGAAAGCCUGACGGAGCAACGCCGCGUGAGUGAUGAAGGUCUUCGGAUCGUAAAACUCUGUUAUUAGGGAAGCGGUACCUAAUCAGAAAGCAACGGCUAACUACGUGCCAGCCGCCGCGGUAAUAC
rnacentral:rRNA from 1 species